UACGAAGGGGGCUAGCGUUGUUCGGAAUUACUGGGCGUAAAGCGCACGUAGGCGGAUCGUUAAGUCGGGGGUGAAAUCCUGGGGCUCAACCCCAGAACUGCCUUCGAUACUGGCGAUCUCGAGUCCGGAAGAGGUGAGUGGAACUCCUAGUGUAGAGGUGGAAUUCGUAGAUAUUAGGAAGAACACCAGUGGCGAAGGCGGCUCACUGGUCCGGUACUGACGCUGAGGUGCGAAAGCGUGGGGAGCAAACAGG
rnacentral:rRNA from 1 species